UACGAAGGGGGCUAGCGUUGUUCGGAAUCACUGGGCGUAAAGCGCACGUAGGCGGAUCUUUAAGUCAGGGGUGAAAUCCCGAGGCUCAACCUCGGAACUGCCUUUGAUACUGGAGGUCUCGAGUCCGGGAGAGGUGAGUGGAACUGCGAGUGUAGAGGUGAAAUUCGUAGAUAUUCGCAAGAACACCAGUGGCGAAGGCGGCUCACUGGCCCGGAACUGACGCUGAGGUGCGAAAUCGUGGGGAGCAAACAGG
rnacentral:rRNA from 1 species